rnacentral:lncRNA from 1 species
AAAAUUUUAAAAAAAGAAAAGAAAAUAAUUCUUUUAAAAAUUUGUUUCAGUGUCAUUUUGGUGGAAUCCACAACAUUUAUCCAUUUGCCAUCACAAGUAACUGGACGCAAGCAACAUUUGCAUGAUGACAAUGAUGCAAGUAGCAGUGCAUGUGAUGCUUCCCAAGGCUGUCACCAUAUUCGAAAUAGCAUAACAACCUCAAUCAAAGCCAGUUUCAUCAGAGAGUUCUUCUGCUCUGUGCACGCUGUUUUCCUGAAAGGGAAUGAAUCUGCAAGCCUAGAGAUCUACUAUCUUCCCUUUGGCGUCCACACACGCUACUGUGCCAUCAUCUUGAGCAACCAAGAGGUUGGAGAAUUAAUAUAUAUUCUUCAAGGAAAUGGUUUGGUUCCUUUGCCCUCCAGUUUCCUUUCAACAGAGCCUUCAAGUCCAAUUGAUUUCAACAGUUCAUUAGAAGAAGAACAUAAUAAGGAUCAUCCAAUUUUGUAUUUGAAAUGCAAACUCUGUCAAACCUUAGAAGUGAGCCUUAAGUUGCCACUGACUAAUGAAGCGAAGGAAAAGGCUUUGGCUUUUGCAGCACAACGGGAAAUGUCCACUAUUGAGUAUGAACGAAGGCUGAUCACAGGCACUCUUGAAAGCAGUAGCAUCCGUGUGGCUGUUGCCCUCCUAGGGUUAACCAAGAUUGAGGUAGGAACGGAAAACCGAUAAUAUAUUUCAAUUAAUAACUCUUAAAACUAUACGGAGCUCUUACCACUUGAUCAUAACAAUAUAUUUUACUGAAACAAUGGUGAAUAUUCUUUUCCCC